rnacentral:rRNA from 1 species
CCUACGGGUGGCUGCAGUGGGGAAUAUUGGGCAAUGGACGCAAGUCUGACCCAGCCAUGCCGCGUGAGUGAAGAAGGCUUUCGGGUUGUAAACCUCUUUCCUGUGUGACGAUGAUAGUGACGGUACCUCAGGAAUAAGCCGCUGAUAACUACGUGCCAGCAGCCGCGGUAAUACGUAGGCGGCAAGCGUUAUUCGGAUCUGUUGGGUGUAAAGGGAGUGUAGGCGGGAUAGCAAGUCAGAUGUGAAAACCCAGGGCUCAACUCUGUGACUGCAAUUAAAACUAUUUUACUUGAGUGCUAGAGAGGCAAGCGGAAUACCGAGUGUAGAGGUGAAAUGCGUAGAUAUACGGAGGAACACCAGUGGCGAAGGCGAAUAGCUGGAUAGUCACUGACGCUGAGGCGCGAAAGCAUGGGGAGCAAACAGGAUUAGAUACCCUAGUAGUC